rnacentral:rRNA from 1 species
CAUGGUUGUCGUCAGCUCGUGUCGUGAGAUGUUGGGUUAAGUCCCGCAACGAGCGCAACCUCGUUCUAUGUUGCCAGCACGUGAUGGUGGGGACUCAUAGGAGACUGCCGGUGACAAACCGGAGGAAGGUGGGGAUGACGUCAAGUCAUCAUGGCCCUUACGGCCUGGGCUACACACGUGCUACAAUGGUCGGUACAAAGGGUAGCGACACUGCGAGGUGAAGCCAAUCCCGUAAAAUCGGUCUCAGUCCGGAUUGGAGUCUGCAACUCGACUCCAUGAAGUUGGGAUCGCUAGUAAUCGUGGAUCAGCAUGCCACGGUGAAUACGUUCCCGGGCCUU